GAAUUUUCACCAGUUUAUCUGAAAUUCUGUGUAUUGAUUUAAGUCAUGCUUCAAUGAAUGAAAAUAUAUGUCAGAUACUUGAACCUCUUCCCCACAGAUUUCAUUUUCUACCUGUCCGUAAUUUGGAGUUUGAAAAGACACAAUGGGGCUUUCUGAAGUUUCUGAGUUUGUGCCUGCCAUGUCCCUGUUCUGCUGUAAGAAAUCUCCCUGGGCAGUCUGCGUCUCCAAGAAGCCACUGAGGCCAAAAAGAUGGAGUGAUGGCCUGUCCUCACUGGGAAAGGAGACUGUGGUGCAUUGCAUGAGAUGUUGCUUGACAAGAAUCUUCAAUCUAUAGAGAAAAUCAGGAGCCAAGAAAUACUUGAAUAAAGCUCCCACGACUAAACAGGGCUCUGAGCACCUCACUUAAUCUUCUGUGUGACCACUCCCC
rnacentral:lncRNA from 1 species